GUGAGGAAUACGUAGGAAUCUGCCCUUAAGUGGGGGAUAACCCGGGGAAACCCGGAUUAAUACCGCAUGAUCUCGAAAGAGCAAAGCAGGGGACCGCAAGGCCUUGCGCUUUUGGAGGAGCCUACGUCGGAUUAGCUAGUUGGUGAGGUAACGGCUCACCAAGGCGACGAUCCGUAACUGGUCUGAGAGGAUGAUCAGUCACACCGGAACUGAGACACGGUCCGGACUCCUACGGGAGGCAGCAGUGGGGAAUAUUGGACAAUGGGCGCAAGCCUGAUCCAGCAAUACCGCGUGUGUGAAGAAGGCCUUAGGGUUGUAAAGCACUUUCAAUUGGGAGGAAAACCUGUCGGUCAAUACCCGGCAGCUUGACAUUACCUUUAGAAGAAGCACCGGC
rnacentral:rRNA from 1 species